GGGGAUGAUCGGUUUCGACGAUGUGAGUUGAGAUGGGUGAAGCGUGCCGAGGAUGCAGGGUUAUCUCGUUAACGCCCUCUGCAAAAAAUUAAGUGCAGAAUCUAAGCGCACUGACUUCGCACUCGCUGCCUAAGCGCGAGUUGCCGUCUGUCGGCCUGAGCAUGCCUUUGGCUCAGUUACCGGCAUCGACUUAAAAGGCCACUGCUGCUAGCCCUUGUUGCGGGGGUUAGCGGGACUUUUUACGUGACUAGGUUCGUCGGUAUAUGUGUUUAUGCAAGUACCGGAGCCGAAAAGUAGCGUUCGCAUAAACUGCGCACGGAGAAGCCCCAUCGAAGCCACAUCGGACCGGGGUUCGAUUCCCCGCAUCUCCACGA
rnacentral:tmRNA from 1 species